UCCCUGUAGUUCCAGUAGUUUGGGUUCCACAUUUUCACUGCGGUGGCCCGGGUUCAAUCCCUGGUCAGGGAA
rnacentral:tRNA from 1 species